rnacentral:rRNA from 1 species
UACAGAGGCUGCAAGCGUUAUUCGGAUUCACUGGGCGUAAAGGGUGCGCAGGCGGCCCUGUGUGUGAGGCGUGAAAGCCUGGGGCUUAACUCCAGAAUUGCACCUCAAACUACAUGGCUAGAGCAUUGGAGAGGGUAGCAGAAUUCACGGUGUAGCAGUGAAAUGCGUAGAUAUCGUGAGGAAUACCAGAGGCGAAGGCGGCUACCUGGACAAUUGCUGACGCUCAGGCACGAAAGCGUGGGGAGCAAAAGGG